rnacentral:lncRNA from 10 species
GGCUGAAUCUGAGGAAUAAAUGUCGGUGUGAUAAAUGCUAUCCGAGAGCAUAGGAAGUGGAAUUGCUGAGCCAGCCAUGGUUUCCGGACUCCCCUCUACGAGGCCACAGAGGAAAGAGAAGUGCCCAUACCCAGCUCAGAACCAUCCUGGAGUAAAGGAAGGAGCUCCGUGCCACAAAGUUGCCCAUUAUUAGAAACCCCUCCUUUAUGAAAGUUUUCAACUUUGUCUUUUGAAGGUUUCUCCAUCUCCAUUUGGGAAUUCCUCUUCAAUUUCUUAGUGGAAGUUGAUGAGAGAAUGGAUUUACCCAAAGAUAUUUUCUGGGAACACAUCAAUUCUGAAAAGCAAGAUAAAAAAUUCUACGGUUGGAUGUUUUUAGUCAGUAAAAAUACUUAAAAUUGUUAUGGUAGGUUAUCCUAGUUAUUUAUUGAAAGGUAAGCAUGAAACUGAACUUCCCAACGUAGUGGUGUGUUUCUUUGUGGAUAACAUGGCUAAAUAGGGUACAUGGAGUUAAAUAGGGUUAACUAUUUAAUAGUCAAUAAACCAUAUACCCUAUUUAACUUAACCCUUAAUAGGGUUAAGUUAACUUAAAGGUUAAUAGGGUUAAGUUAACUUAAGGGUUAAGUUAAAUAGGGUUCAUGAAGAAGGAACAAAAAAUGCAGGU